rnacentral:sRNA from 1 species
UUUGCGUUAGGGAUGGAAGUGGAAAUCCUUUUUCUUUUUUCUUUAAAAAGGAAAAGAUUGGGAACGUACAGCCCGACCUUGU